CUUUGUAAAACUCCUUCGACGAGUCGAGUAGUUUGGGAAUGCUGCUCUAAAUGGGAGGUAAAUUUCUUCUAAAGCUAAAUACCGGCCAGAGACCGAUAGCGCACAAGUAGAGUGAUCGAAAGAUGAAAAGCACUUUGAAAAGAGGGUUAAAUAGCACGUGAAAUUGUUGAAAGGGAAGGAUUUAUGACCAGACUUUUUCUAGGCGAAUCAUCCGGUGUUCUCACCGGUGCACUUCGUUUAGUUCAGGCCAGCAUCGAUUUUCGGGGCGGGAUAAAAGCUUUAGGAAUGUAGCUCCCUCGGGAGUGUUAUAGCCUGUUGUAUAAUAUCGCCCUGGGGAUCGAGGUACGCGCUUCUGCAAGGAUGCUGGCGUAAUGGUUAUCAAUCACCCGUCUUGAAACACGGACCAAGGAGUCGAACAUUUGUGCAAGUGUUUGGGUGUUAAACCCUCACGCGUAAUGAAAGUGAACGGAGGUGAGAGCCCUUUCGGGGGUGCAUCAUCGACCGAUCCUGAUGUCUUCGGAUGGAUUUGAGUAAGAGCAUAAAUGUUCGGACCCGAAAGAUGGUGAACUAUGCGUGGAUAGGGUGAAGCCAGAGGAAACUCUGGUGGAGGCUCGCAGCGGUUCUGACGUGCAAAUCGAUCGUCAAAUCUGCGCAUGGGGGCGAAAGACUAAUCG
rnacentral:rRNA from 1 species